rnacentral:rRNA from 1 species
GACGAACGCUGGCGGCGUGCUUAAUACAUGCAAGUCAACGACUUUUAGAGUAGCAAUAUUCUAAAGGAAGUGGCGCACGGGUGAGUAACACGUAGGUAAUCUGCCUUCAGGACUGACACAACUCGUCGAAAGACGGGCUAAUAUCAGAUAAUGCAGCGGCUCCGCAUGGAGACAGUUGUUAAAGUACAAGCGCCUGAAGAUGAGCCUGCGGUCCAUUAGCUAGUUGGUAGAGUAAAAGCCUACCAAGGCAACGAUGGAUAGCUGGUCUGAGAGGAUGAUCAGCCACACUGGAACUGAGACACGGUCCAGACUCCUACGGGAGGCAGCAGUAAGGAAUAUUGCUCAAUGGCCGAAAGGCUGAAGCAGCAACGCCGCGUGAAGGAUGAAUGGCCUUGGCCUGUAACUUCUGUAAAAGGGAAAACAGUACAGGUAUAU